rnacentral:rRNA from 1 species
UACGAAGGGUGCAAGCGUUACUCGGAAUUACUGGGCGUAAAGCGUGCGUAGGCGGUUCGGUAAGCCCUCUGUGAAAUCUCCAGGCUUAACCUGGAACAGUCGGAGGGGACUGCUGGGCUAGAGGAAUGGAGGGGAGACUGGAAUACUUGGUGUAGCAGUGAAAUGCGUAGAUAUCAAGUGGAACACCAGUGGCGAAGGCGAGUCUCUGGACAUUUCCUGACGCUGAGGCACGAAAGCCAGGGGAGCAAACGGG